rnacentral:lncRNA from 1 species
GGCGGAGAGGUCGUUUUGGCCUACUCUAUUCUUCCCACGGCGACAGCGGAGAGUGCACGAUGAAAGUCGUUCUUUUGAUAUACUAUCAUGAGAAGGCCAGCAACUUGACGACGUCAGAACCCUCGCCGCGCGAGGUCGUCUGUCGAGUUGCUGAUGGCGAAGCCAAGCUCUAAAAAGGUUCAAGACACGCGAGACAAGAACGUCCCGCUCGUUGCAGGGCGCGAGACGGAAAUUUCCGAUCGUCACGAUGGUAAAAGAGGGGAUGCGCGAGACGGAAAUUUCCACUCGUUGCAGUGCUCGAGACGAGAACGCCCGCUUUUCGUGAUGAUAACAGGCAAGACGCACGAGACGGAAACCCGCUCGUCGCAGCGCGUAAGACGGGAAACUCCCGCUUGUCGUAAUAAUGAAAAGUCAAGACACGAGAUGAGAACGCCUCGUUUCGUUAUAAAAUAUUGAUGUCGAGAGGCUGUCGAUUCCAUCACAUGAGCAACUAUUGUUCGAGCAUAUAUUAUGUCAUGAUGAGAGCUGCCAUCAAUAUAGUUCUACAAUUAUACAUAUAUCUUGGAGAUACAUAUGCAUAUAUGUACAUGCCGGCGUCCUAUUCUUUGAUCGGAGAAGAUGCCAUAUUUGAAUAGUUGGUCAUGCCUGCUAGUUGCUCCACG